AAAUUGAAGAGUUUGAUCAUGGCUCAGAUUGAACGCUGGCGGCAGGCCUAACACAUGCAAGUCGAGCGGAAACGAGUUAUCUGAACCUUCGGGGAACGAUAGCGGCGUCGAGCGGCGGACGGGUGAGUAAUGCCUAGGAAAUUGCCCUGAUGUGGGGGAUAACCAUUGGAAACGAUGGCUAAUACCGCAUGAUGCCUACGGGCCAAAGAGGGGGACCUUCGGGCCUCUCGCGUCAGGAUAUGCCUAGGUGGGAUUAGCUAGUUGGUGAGGUAAGGGCUCACCAAGGCGACGAUCCCUAGCUGGUCUGAGAGGAUGAUCAGCCACA
rnacentral:rRNA from 1 species